UACAGACCAAGUUGAUAAGAGCUAUUGGUGGAUGCCUUGGCAUUGACAGGCGAAGAAGGACGCGAAUACCUGCGAAAAGCUCCGGCGAGCUGGUGAUAAGCAACGACCCGGAGGUAUCCGAAUGGGGAAACCCGGUAGAGUAAUAGUCUACCAUUGUAUACUGAACACAUAGGUAUACAAAGCGACACCUGCCGAACUGAAACAUCUUAGUAAGCAGAGGAAAAGAAAUCGAAGAGAUUCCCUGUGUAGCGGCGAGCGAAAGGGGAAGAGCCUAAACCGAGCUGAAGAAGCGAGGGGUUGUAGGGUUGAGGAAAAAGGAUCAGGACUCCUAGUUGAACACAUCUGGAAAGGUGGAUGAUACAGGGUGAUAGUCCCGUAGACGAAAGGAGAGAAAGACCGACCUCAAUACCUGAGUAGGACUAGACACGUGAAACCUAGUCUGAAUCUGGGGAGACCACUCUCCAAGGCUAAAUACUAGUCAAUGACCGAUAGUGAACCAGUACUGUGAAGGAAAGGCGAAAAGAACCCUUGUUAAGGGAGUGAAAUAGAACCUGAAACCAAUAGCUUACAAGCGGUCGGAGACCUAUGGCCCGUAAGGGUUAAGGUUGACGGCGUGCCUUUUGCAUGAUGAGCCAGGAGUUAAGCUAAACGGCGAGGUUAAGGGAUGUACAUUCCGGAGCCGAAGCGAAAGCGAGUUUUAAAAGAGCGUUUAGUCGUUUGGUUUAGACACGAAACCAAGUGAGCUAUUUAUGACCAGGUUGAAGCAUGGGUAAAACUAUGUGGAGGACCGAACUAGUACCUGUUGAAAAAGGUUUGGAUGAGUUGUGAAUAGGGGUGAAAG
rnacentral:rRNA from 1 species